AACGAACGCUGGCGGCGCGCCUAAUACAUGCAAGUCGAGCGAGAAGGUGUAGCAAUACACUUGUAAAGCGGCGAACGGGUGAGGAAUGCAUGGGUAACCUACCCUCGAGUGGGGAAUAACUAGCCGAAAGGUUAGCUAAUACCGCAUACGUUUCCGGAACUUCGGUUUCGGAAAGAAAGCAAUACCGUGGGUAUUGCGCUCCUGGAUGGGCUCAUGUCCUAUCAGCUUGUUGGUGAGGUAACGGCUCACCAAGGCUUCGACGGGUAGCUGGUCUGAGAGGACGAUCAGCCACACUGGCACUGCGACACGGGCCAGACUCCUACGGGAGGCAGCAGUAAGGAAUAUUGCGCAAUGGACGAAAGUCUGACGCAGCGACGCCGCGUGAGUGAUGAAGGCCUCGGGUU
rnacentral:rRNA from 1 species